ACUUUUUUAGUAUAAUUAAUAUAUUUGACUUCCAAUCAAAAGAUCUUACUUCUAAGAAAAAGUA
rnacentral:tRNA from 2 species